rnacentral:lncRNA from 1 species
UCUAUAAACAAGUACUAAUAGGGAAAUGAAAACUAUACUAAAGGAAACGUAGGAUAUCUCUCCUAAAAUCUAAAAAAGGACAUAUUAGGGCUAUACGGAUUCGAACCGUAGACCUUCUCGGUAAAACAGAUCAAACGGAUUAUUAUCGAAAUGAUUCGAACUGUUUCAAAGACCCAACAUGCAUUUUUUUGCAUUGGGCUCUUUUAUCAACUGAUAGAAAGAUCAGUUAGUCCACCAUAGUUUUUCUUUACGGAAAGAUAAUGAGAUGGCUCCCUGCGCUCUGAUUGAUUAUUUGUAUUAUGAUCUAUCUAAGAGCAAUACCAAAGUGUUUCAAAGGAGGAUUACCUUGACUUAGGUCUGCCUCCGGCCUAAAUUAAAUCAACCUAAGUGAAAUAGAGUCUCUAUCGUUCCGCUACAAGAGUUGACUAUGAGACUUCAUACACCUUAAAGUUCAUAGAACGAAAAGAAUUUUUUUGGAGGCCCUUAUCCUCAUUAAGCCUAGCAUUUAGUGGGCUGGAUAUUUACCUUAUCAACUAGCAAAUCAAUAAAGGUUCUAUUUGUUUAGGCACCUGGAUUGGUACCUGAAUCGGACUGAACCAACUAUUUGUCAGGCGACUGUUCUCCUAUUCUCUCGAAUCCAUGAAGUAAGACAUUGAUUUUGCAAGAAGAUCCACUAUGUUCAUUGCAUAAUAAGCUCCCAUGAAAAGCAUUGGCGCACGUGUAAACGAGUUGCUCUACCGAACUGAGCUAUAGCCCUUGUCAGAGAUAUCUUAAUAUAUAGAGAAUUUCUUGUCAAGAUGAAUAUUCUCUAAUAGUAGAGGAUAUCCUUUGAUCUGUUUACUAUAAUAACAUACCAAUAACUAAGCGGUAUUUGCUUAUAAAAAGGAUUCGAUCUAUAAUCAAUCGAAGUAAAGGGUCUUCCUUUGUGGUGAUAAAUUGCCUACUUAACUCAGUGGUUAGAGUAUUGCUUUCAUAUGGCGGGAGUCAUUGGUUCAAAUCCAAUAGUAGGUAGGUAGAUAGAAAAAUUACUAGAUAGCAUUGGCCCUACUUCGCUUCGCUAUCUAAUAAUUUUUUCUACCCCUCUUCCCUUUUUCUUUGUAUCAACUAAACCGUUGGGUUGUCUUCAAUUAGAUGGGGGAAUCCAAUUAACAGCCUCGACUCGUAUCCUAGCUCGUCUGAGAGCUACCUUCGCUUCAACCAAUUCUUUCGUACCCUCAGCUCUACUCACGUUAGCUUCGGCUAUUUCAAGUGCCUGUUGAGCUUCUUCCGGAUCAAUGUCACUACCCAGUUCCGCAUCAUUUCCUAAAAUGAUGAUCUCAUUAUUAACUAUUCUGGCAAAACUGCUCCACAGAACCGCCGUUAACCAUUUAUCGUUGAGGAGGCGUAUUCUCAAGGGACCCAUAUCUACAGCUGUGUUAAUGGGGGCGUGGUUUGGUAAUACGCCAAUUUGGCCACUAUUAGUAGAUAAAAUGAUUUCUUUCACUUCACAAUUCCAAAUAAUUCGCUUAGGAGUCAGUACAUAAAGAUUUAAUUUCAUUUCUUCAAUUUGUUCUCCUCUUCUAAGUUUAUAGCUUUCGUGCUAGCUUCAUCGAUGUUACCCACCAAAUAAAAAGCCUGUUCGGGUAGGCCGUCUAAUUCUCCGGAAAGGAUUAGUUGAAAUCCCCUAAUAGUUUCUGCAAGACCAACAUACUUUCCCGGAGAACCGGUAAAAACUUCUGCCACAAAAAACGGUUGUGAUAAGAAGCGCUCAAUUUUUCGUGCUCUUGCUACAGUUAAACGAUCCUCCUCCGAUAAUUCAUCCAACCCAAGAAUUGCGAUAAUGUCCUGAAGUUCUUUGUCAAUGGCUCUAAGUAAGAAAAGCUUUAUCAGAUUCUAUUUUCCGAAGUUGCACCUACAACUAUUCAUUGAAAAGAAUCCUACUCUUAUGGGUAAAUGCUCAAUAUCCAAGUGGGCUUACAAAUUUGAUCAUGAUCAAUUGCUUUGUGGAUUGUCUCGCGUCUCUUGAUUAGUUGGUAUUUAUCCCCCCCAAUAUUGCAAGUUUCUUACGUCCAAACAAAGUAUUUACUUGUUACUAAUAAAAAAUCAAAAAGUUUAGACUACGUUCUUCCUUAGAUCCCUUCUUUUACUCCGAUAGUAUUGCAUAUCGCAAUCGAUGCAAAGAAAAUGAAUGCAUUUCCAUACUAUAAUAAAAAGUAAGUGUAAUAAAUAGAGAAUUGGAUCAUGUCACAUGACUUAUUCCACUCCUGCCAUCUCGGAGUCCAGGGAAGCGCACAGAUAGAGCAAGGAAGAGAAGGGGGGAAAAAUGAAAAGAAAAAUAUGGGAUGUGGAAGGAUCCCAUUGUGAAAAGAUGUUUUCGGAAGGAUCGCGGGGAGGUUUCACCGUUUGAGAGAUCCAACAGCUCGCAUUGUCUGGUGUAGAAAUCAGACGGCCCAUAAUUUCUUGAAGACGUGGGUUUAUUGAGUUUUACUUUUCACUUAGUUAGAUAGGCAUUCAUUAGCUAGCCACUCUUAGCACCUAAGAGCAGUCCUACUAUUAGCCAGCUAUAGAUAUAUUUUAACGAGCUAAAAGAUGAGAGAGAAGAAUAGUGGGUUACAGAUCUGUAGCCAGCUGCAGCACGGACUCCAAGACGCAGUGUGUGUAUGACAGGUGGGACCAUAUAUCAAUAGUAUAGUAAGCAACUAUUGUAUGAAUUGGCUAUUAGAUUGGCUAUAGAUGAAUUAGAGCUAGUAGUUGGUUAUACUAUUAAAUUUGCUCUAAGAGGCAUCAUGUCUGAGGUUUUGUUUGAAAUUCAGGAUAUGGAAAACGUAGGAACAUUAAAAACAUAACAUAGGAAAUAAUAGGAAUAUGAUAGGAUUGUAGGUUUAAAACGGAGUGAUUAUAAAGCAUAGGAAAACUGAGCAAACUAUUGUUCGGAAGCGCAAAGAAAAACUCAGAAAUCUUAUUCACUAAUAGAAGUAACUCGAUAACAUAUUAUCAAAUUGUACUUAGAUGGUACAAGCAACUGAUGUGUGGGCCAAGGAACAGUAAACCAUCGUUACAAAGGCCAAUUGAGUUGAUUUAUUUCUCCCUUUGCAUCGGUCCUAUAUAUGGAAAGCCAGCAAAAAAAAAAAAGAGGGACUCUCGACAUGACAAACGGCUCAAAAUUUUUUGGGUUUCAGCCGUUUUUUCUCACCGUGCGAUAAAUACACGCGUCACCCAUCCCCUCCCGCACAAAAAUCCCACCCGAGUAGCUGGUAGUGCGCUUUGCACAAACGGCACAACAAAAUCCCGCUUGUGUUUGUUUUGUCCGUGUGGGUUUAGUCCACAAAAGAAAAAGGCCCAUGACGUUUUAUCUUUGUAGAAAGCCCACAUCCCGCAAGGAGAAAAAAACCAAGGACUAUUUUUAUCCGUGUAAACAAGCCCAGAAAAAGAAGCACACAUCGUGCAACUCUUAUUUUUUAGGAACCCACAUCCUGGACUUCUUUUUUAGAGACACACAACCUGCACUUUUCUGUGCUGCUCCAGUACGUCUUGCUGCAUGAACCAUGCUGGUUUGGUUUUGUUAGUGAUAUGCUCUAGAGGCAAUCAUAAAGAUAAUUAUAUCACAUAAUAUGUUUAUAUAUUUAUCCGACAUUGUUCUUUAAAAUAGAUAACACAUUAUUGGUUAAUGAAUAUGUGAUUCUUUCAUGAGACUUUUUAUGUUGUAUGUUACUAUUUCUGAAGGAUCCCUGAUCAAAUAUCAUAUGUGGAACAAAUAUGUUUAAAUGAUCAGCACAUGUAUUAAUUGAUGAUUAUGUUUCAUGGAUCAUGGUAUAGAGAUACCAAAUUAAUAAUGUGGACACAUGUUGGGGAACAUGUUGUUGGAUAGACCCAACAUGAUACAUUGCAAGAGCCAUAUGUGUUGUGUUAUCAGUGAUCUCAUUUAGUGUUGGUGUUGAAUCCUUAGACCUGAGAUUAUCAUGGUUCCCAACAUAUGUAGUAUCUUACUUAGGGACUGCUAAACGCUACUCCGUAAUUGGGUAGUUAUAAAAAUAGUUUUCGGGUAUGCUAUGAAACAUAUAGUUAGAUAUGUAUAAUCAAGAUGGGAUUUGCUCCUUCUAUGGAGAGAUAUCUCUGGGCCCCUCGAUGUUAUAGAUUAUGAAAGUGCAUGGCCAUACCAAAGGUCAUUGAGGAGUCAAUCACAAGUUAUAUAUAUAAUAUAUCACAUGUUCGAGUGAAUGAUUGAGCUAUUAGAGGAUGUCAUAUAUCUAGCCUUGAGCUUAAUCGAUAUCAUGAGGCAAAGGUGUUCAUACAUGUAUACACUAGAUAUUCAGCCGAUAUGAUCUUUAUGUAUGCCCGGUGGGUCAAUACAUUCUGCUAGGGGCCACCGUUGACACGUGGACCGAAAAGGAGUUUUCGGGUUACAGCUGAGUGUACAUGAACCUACAGGAUUGCACGCUUAUUGGGCCGGAAUAAGGGGAUUAGAUGGAGAUCCAAUAUGAGCUUAAUUCGAAUAGGGAUCCGAGUUGGAGUCCUACGGACCUUCACGGAUCCUAUAUAUUUGUGAGGGGUAUGACCGGCGGAGGUAUUGCAUCACGUGAGAAAGCCUAGCCGCCACUCCCCUCCACGAGCAAAAAACCCUAGCCGCACGCGGGUGCUAGCACAUCUGCGCGUGGCGUUCCGUCCCUGUACGUGUGGAUACUGGUAGAGACGCCGCUGCUUUGCGGUGCUGAUCAGCGUGGGAGCACGGCGAGGAGAACGCACGAGGAGGAGAAGGUCGAGCCGGUGUGAUCGACUACUUCCUCUACAUCGACGCGCGCUACAUCGCGAGGGUUCCUUCGCCUUCUUAGCGCUUUCUUCCACUGCGCAGCGCGUCGAGUGGUAACGAUCUAUGAUCUAAUACUUGCAUGGUUCCUGAUUUACGCAGUAAUUUAUACUAUCGUAGCCUACGCGUGUCUCAACAGGUUUCACAUUUUUUUUUCAAGAAGUGUUCCUGCCAAACAAAAUAAAAAGGUUAUAUUAGGACGACAUGAUUGCAUACAAAUAUGGGGAGCAAAAUACUAGGUUCAGAAAACUGUCAGAGUUAAUUCUGAACUGUUAAAUAUGUUGAAAACUACGUUAACCCCAAAGAUGCAAUAUGGCGUGAUGCAUCAUUCAUGCUGAGAUGCAACAAACAUGUAUUGACGUUGUGUUGCUAUUGGAAAAUUACUAUUCUUGGCCUAGUUCUUUUUCCAAACUUCAAACUUCAACUUCCUCGUUUUUCAUUAGCACGUUUUUCAAACUAUUAUUAAAUGGUGUGUUUUUAAUAAAAAAGUUUCUAAGUAGAAGUUGUUUAAAAAAUUCCAAUGAAUCUAUUUUCUAAUUUUAUACUUCAAUAAUUAAUACUUAAUUAAUCAUGUACUAAUGAGCUUUCUCGCUAAAAAUCUCUCUCAACUCACCUAUCGAACGGGGCCAGUAGAACAAAUAAAGAGCAUCAGAUAAAGUAGCCCAUAGUCUCGCGCACCUUGCGCUUAGAUCGAAGGAGUCUGUAGUUUGGCGUCUUCAGGCGCCGGAGUGUGUUCAUAAUCUUUUAGCCCUCGAUUGUAACCCUAUGAUUGAUGAGUAAUAAAGCUUCAUGUUUCCCUCGCAAAAAAAAAAAAGAACAUCAGACAAUGUGUAGCAAGGAAAAUUGUGUAGUUGUUAUGACUCAAACUAAAAAUAGGUGCUAUGCAUGCACAGUUAUAGUCAAAUUUGUGGGCACAAAUUUUAAUUGCUACAUCAAGGAAAUUUGCAUUCGCAACUAUAGCAAAUUUGCAAGCACAGCUAGAAAUCUAUACCUAUAGUAUAAUUGGGAACUUCAUAGGAGCUCCCACGUUAACCAGUAAAAUCAGAUCGUUAAUUUGAUACAUCAUAUAAUCCUAACCAUUGAUUAUAAACUCUAAUCUACAUUAGCAUGAUGGGCCUGAUGUAAAGCCCAUCCAAUCAACCGCUUUAAUUAUAGUGAUGGGCGUGCGUUCCACUCCAGUCUUGCACCUAAUCUUCGUUUUCUUCCACAACCUUAUGUCAAUCAAGAGAUCAAUCAAUCCACUGCUCCUACUCUUCCUCUCAGAGUUCAAUCCAUGGUGUUUUUUUUUCCCUGGUCAUCAAUGAUUUGCAAAUAGUGAUAAUCAUUUACUCAAUUUUGAUGCAUCUUCACGUAGCCAAAUCAAAUAGCCGAUGAAUCAAAUUUAAAACAGAUCUAUGUAGGCCAUGCCCUAGCUAAUCUAGAGCAGGAAGUUUCAUGUAAAUCUCACACCUCCUUGCAAUACAUAGACAAUUGAUCUUCUGAUUUUAUCUGACAAUAGAUUAAAUAUUUCUUCUUUCCAGGUGAUUGCUAGAUAUUAUAAUUGAAUAUACCAUACCAGACAUGUUCUCUUACAGUUUUUGCCAGUACUUGUUUUCUUUAAUAAAGAACAUUUGUUGCAUGCCUUAAUACAAUUAUAAAUAAUAUUCAUUGGUUCAACAUGGUCCAGGAUAAUGUUCUGCUUAUAAUAUUGGUACCUUGGAAAAUUUGAUCUUCAAAACAAAAUGUAUACAAUAAUUUACUUCCCAAGCUACGGUAAAUAGCUUAAAUUCAUCAGUCAAUAUUAAAUUCCAUAUUUUACUUUUUUUUAAGGUGAUUGCUAUAUGUUUCUGCAGGGCACCAUAAUACAUUUGUUGACGGUUGUUAGCGAUCAGUUUCAAUCGUCAAUAUUACCAAAAUAGAGAAGAACUAGUUAUACUUGCAAUGCAUAUCCAUGUUAGUAUAAUAAUAUUCCACUAGUAUUAGAUUCACUAGCCUUUUAUAGAGAAUAACCAUUAAGUGGAGGAGAAUCGAUAUCAAAUCAGAUGAUAUAUCAAUCGGACGAUGUCGAGAAUCAAACUUAUGUAUGAAUGGGCCAAGAACUCAGAAAUGACACAACCAAUUGGGCCAAAAUUCACAAGUCUGCAGAGAAGAGAAGUCUAAGAGGCCACCAGCCAACUUGUGGGCUAGUUAGGCCAGCCCAGGGUUCGGCCGAACCAAUGCCAGCACCGAUGGAUGCAUGGUUUUGAGGGAACAGUGGAGAUUCACUCCCUAUGGCGGUUAGAGGGUAUUACCGACUAUUCCAACCGCCAUAACCGUCAUUAUAUCUACCUAUUUAAAGAGCUCCUCUUUCAUUUCACUCAUACACCUCAAGCAAAGCUCUCUCAUAUUCUCUCGAGUUUAGUUUAGUGUUCUUAAGCUAGUGGAAUAGGAAUAGAGUAGAAAUCGGAGUCCAGAAGCCUUCGGAAGAGUUCGGAUAUGGCUCUAGUAGCUCUUCUCUUCUCUUUUGUAAGCUUUGUACUAUUAUUAGAAUACUCUUCUUUAUACAUUUAUGGUAUUAAAAUACUUUCCGAGUAUAUGAAUGCCAACUUUAUAUUAUGUUUAUGUUGUACUGAUUAUACUGCUAGCUUAUCUGGGAGAUGCCUUGGUGCGGGUAUAAUGUUUUUAUAUGCAAUUACUCCAUGUCAUGACGAUGAUAUUAGAGUAGUAUCUGGUAGUUUUGGCGUGGUGUCUAGAUUACGGGAUAUCAUUAUUUGGGGUUAUAUGCUGCGGAUGAGAGGUGGGCCGCUGAUGGUGACAGCUCAGUACAGGUAUUCCUCUACACGUAUAUAUAGUCCUAAGUUAAUUUUCUGGGGAGGGUACUCCUCCGUAUUUAGCUUCGGUUGUAUGGUCAUGACGGACUGUCGUAAGGAACUUGGCAAUCAGGGGUGGCUUCUCGAAGCACUAGGAGGGUAUCGGAUAGAGGGUAUUAGCUAGUAUAUCAGAUAACUAGGAUAUAUGUAUACUAUGUAUACUAGAAGUAUAGGAAUAGAUUCUCGUUCUCUUUUCUUUCCACUUUGCUUAGAUAUUUUAGUAUGAGAAUGAGUAGCUCCAUGCUGUUGUGUCACUCUGCUUAGACUAUGAUUAUAUUAACCCCUGCUUAGACUAUGAUUAUUACAAGUAACAUAUAAAUUAUUAGUCAGGUUCUCUCUACCAUGAUCUUUCCACGGGAUUAAAUAAAUACGAUACCCUUGGAAUACUCUCGGGUAAAAUGCUACAAUGGUAUAUCCGUGCGCUUGCGGAUGAACUCUAUAACCAUAAUAUACUAGGAGGAUUUCUGCACCAUUGCUGGGAAUUAUAUUUCUGGCAAUGUCGUUAAGAAAUAUCAACAAGCAUUUCUGGCGCCGUUGCCGGGGACGAUUCAUAAUAGAGAUUACCAGAACUAAUACUGUAACAGCCCUAGGUCAAUUACCAGGUAAUUAGAAAUGCAAUUAUCAUCACUUAGGUUGCAUCUUUACUUUAUUGCAAGUAAUUACAUGUGAUAGCAAUUUAAACUUUAACCGGCAAAACCAAAGCAACUUCUAAAUGAAAAAUAACUUGAACAGAAGUAUAUGUGUUUAAUAUUUUAUUCAAAUAUUAGUUUAUUUAUCAUCACUAAAUAUAAAUUUUGUGGAAUUUUUACUCUCUGUUUAGGCCUCCUAAAAAUUCAAACCAACUUUCAGCCUAACCAAUUUCAUCUUUUCACCAGAUUUAAAACACUUGGAAUUUAUGUGUGAAACUUUGAAAAAUGGAACCUAGAAACCUACACCUAUCACCACACCAAAUUUCUACAUUUUUGAACUUGUUUUACCUAGUCAAAUUGAAUUUACCAAGAGAGGGAAAGAAAAUAAAUAUUGGAAAUUGCAAGAACGAAUUUAUACUCAGUUUUUCACCCACCUCUCUCACCCUCAUAGACAGCCACGACUUGGGCCCACUUGUCACUGACCUUGGGUGCCUCUUUAGCCCCACAACACACCCAUGGGCGUGCUCCCACCUCAGGACUUAAGGGGGUAGAGAAAACCCCAUCUUCUUCCUCGCCUUUCAUCUUCACUGCUUGUUCUUUCUUUUCUUCAUCAAGCUGAGCUCUCAUCUCACUUCUCCUCCCCAAAUCCCAUCCAAUAGCCUAAGAUCAAUCCCUGCAUGUAAGACCACAACAAUCCCUAUCAUAAAAACUUUGCAUCCAUCCCAACAUCUUGCACAUGCAUGGAGAGUUGAGAGAGAUCGAGAAGGAACAAAAGAGUGGUGGUUUCAGCCUGCAGGGCUGCAGCAGCAGCAUUUUGUUUUCCUCCAUUUGGUAAGCUUCCAUUUCAUCCAUGGUGCCUCUUUUGGAUUCCCUCCAUGUUGAACAUCUAUAGCAAUGUUCUAUAGGUUGUCCACUCCAUUGCUGCAGCUAGAAGGUGGCUGCAACUCACCCCGAGUUCAUAUCUUUUGAUUUCGGUUGAAGCAGCCCUAGGCAACGUCUCUUGCCGUCAGCCCAAGACCUUGCUCCAUCUCUUGCCAUCAGCCCGAGGCCUUAGCCUCGCAUGACCCUACGUCCAGGUUGCUACCAUGUGAGCGAAGUCCGAUGGAAGUUGGAGAAAAGGGGAGUGAAAAUAGAAAUCGAUUUCAAAGAUAUCUAUUGAGCUAAAAGAGGUAUGCGCUUUAAAAAUUCAUAACUAAUUCAUAUGAACUCCGAAUUCAGUGAACCAAAUUUCUGUGGAUUAAGAAAAACGUGAUCUUCAAUGUUGUAAAAUAAAAAUGACCAACUUUUGUACUGGUUUUCCCAGUAAAAAUAUAAAUAGCUAAUAUGUAUCCCUUGUGUGGUCUAGCUCUUAAUAAAUUCGCAAGAAAUUAUUGGUAAAAGCUAAAAUUGUGAAACCAAUUUUGUUGAGCUUAUAUUUUAGUACUCUUUGCUGUUGUGGUGUUGUUUUUGGCAAAAAUACCUCUUAAAUCUUGUUUAGCAGUUAUUUAGCAUUCCCAUGAUUUUAACUUGUAAAACCCAUAUAUAAAUGAGAUAAUCCAUGAAAUGCCAUUGACAAGCGUCCCAGAAAUGCCGUUAACGGCGCGGAAUGGACGGAACCCUAACGGCGAUGGCAUUUUUGGGACAAAAUCGUUUGUACGAUGGCAUUUAUUGGAACUCACACUUGUCGAUGGCAUUUCUGGGACUUAGACGCUUGUCAAUGGCAUUUCAUGGAUUAUCUCUAUAUAAAUAAUGACAACAGAUACAGCUGUGAAAUAUUUUUUCUUAGAACCUGUGAGUGAUGUAAUUUACUCUAAAAAUAAUCAUUAUUAUGAAAUCUUGGUUUGAAAUGCAUGUUACUUGUAAUGUACUAAAGGAAAUGUUAAUAUUUACAGAACUGCCAUUUUCAACACCUGAGAGCUUGUCAUUUUCAUAUCUCCCAAACCAUAAGUGAUAAUCUAGUGAUUCUUUCAACUAAAUUCAAGUUAAAAUAUGAUCUACCCACUAUAUUUAUUUCAUAAUUUAUUGAUCAUUUUGCAUGUGCAUGUUUAUUUGGCUCUUAUUCGCAUAUUACUUCUUUUCGAUAGAUUCGGAGAUUCCGGAGAGUAACGAGCCAUAUCCUGAGGAGGAUAGUGACUACCCUCAGCAGCAAGGCAAGCACCUAAGCAUAUAGAACCUGUGCUUUCUCUAAAAAUGAUUUGGUUGCAAUCUAUACGUAUAUAUAUAUGCAUGUAUUGCCUAGAUAUUAAUAUUGUCGAUUUAUGGUGUAUGGGUAGAACCUAUUUAUGCAUUUAGUUCUUGUGAUAUUGCUGUCCUUAUACCCCAUUACCAUUGGUUGGGAUUGCUUGGGAUGUCUUAUUCAUUAAUGCUUAGCCAUGCUUAGUGCUAAUAGAACUAUAGUGAUAGACAGUGCUAUUAAUUGUGGUAUAUAGACAACUUGCAUUAUUGGGCAUAAAACUUGAGCACUUACACUACUAAAUAAUGGUUGAUGAAAUAUGUUGGACUUGGACGGGUGAUAGGGCAAUGAUGGGAGGUUGGUUUCCCCUGAUGCAAGUAGCCCCGUCUAGGUUGUUAAGGACUGAACAUUUUGACAUCUAAUCAAGCACCCUACGUACUUAUCACAUGCCUUAUUUUGGGACCGGCUUGUUCUUACUAGUUCUAUUGUGAUCAUUUAUACCACGUUGGAGAGUUGUGAGGCAGGUAGCCUUUGGAGGGCCUCGGGUGCCUAGGUUUGGCCGGGGGUGCCUCCCGCGUGGCGCGCCCGCCUUGGUCACAUCACGCACGCACGUGACUGAGUCGUCGGGAAGGCUAGCGUGGUAUAGGUGGUUGGGGUGGGGCUAAGAAAGGGCAUGUAAUGAGCUUGAAUCACUUGUGUACCGCAGUUGACGGGGUGUGUAGCAUUUGAUCUUUGUUCAUUUCGUGUGGGACCAGUUGUACACCUCUGAUCAGAGUAUAAUCUAUUCGAAUAGUCGCGUCCUCGGUGAUGGACAAUGCUUGAUGUGUUAGUCAGUUAUGUUAGCAUCAAAUGUGGAUUAUUAUGGAUGGGAUUAUGUUCGAUGGUGGUGUUGGCAUGUUGUGCCAUGUUGGUAUAGACUUUGGUAGUCCAUGGUUGAUGAUGAGAGCGCCGUUUGGGCUCAUUUGCUUAUACAUUUCAGAAUUAUAUACUUGCUGUCCAUAAAUUAAAAUGAUGCUAGAUUUACUUAUCCUUGCUUAUUUUACUCAUUAAUUGCUCAAUAAAAUUAGCUUUAUGCAAAUGUUGAACCUAGAGACCCACUAUAGCCUAGAAAGCUUGCAUACUUCUCUCUCCCUUAUGUAUAUAUAAUUUUGGGUAAGACUUGCGAGUACAAUCUUGUACUUAACCCGGUGUCUGCAAUUUCAAGAGAGGAUUCCGGUUAUGAGUUAUGCUUCUUGUGUGGUAAUUGCUUAGACGAGGGCGGCGAGGGCAAUGAGUGAUCUCUUGCAGCUUGGCUCUUGCCCGGUUGGUUUGCAUUAGUGGGGUUGUGGCACCACCGGUUUUAUCUUUUGCUUAUGAACUCUAUUUGAGACUUCCGCUGCUAUAUUUAUGUGUUGUAUGUUGGGACCUCGGACCCUAUUAUGUGCCAUGUACCUCGCUGCACUUUAACCCUAUUAUGGUACUUGCUAUGUUUUUAAUUGCUUCCGAUGAAAGUGUGAGGCUAAUCACAUUCCUGGGGACUAGCUAAGCAUGAGUAACGAGUUUUGAUCGCUUGAGAUAAUUGGGGAUAGCGCUUUGGAUUGAGUCACUGGGGUAUACUUUUGGUCGCCACCUUCGAGUGGUUGACGGGCAUAUGACGGAGUGGACUGGCAAGCUAUCUUACGGUUAUGUCUUGCGCUCACUACUUGACAUUCCGGUUAUUAUAACAGAAGGUUGUCAACCGCGAUCAUGGACACAUUGAGGACGAAUGGCUAUUUAUGCGUAUAUGGAUCCCACUUCUCCAAUAGUAUGUGGUGGUCGCGUUGGACACUGGAUGGUAUAAUAUUCGGGGUGUCCCCAAAUACUUUAUAUUUACCUCUGUAUAAUCACUGCCCUUUGCAGGCUAACCUUGGUUGUUUUCACUUUUGUUGUGAAAACGGGGUAGUGCAUGACUGGUUUCAACCUACCGGAAAACUUUAAGGAAAAUCCAGAAGCUUUCUUCCGGAGCGUCAAGCCGCAAGUCAUCGCUCCGUAGAAAACUCUACCGAUAAAGAAACCAGCCAUACCAGCUUCACCGACCUUCAAGACCAUGGCUGAUAAGACCCUCCGUGAAUUCGCUGCUCCCUUUGCUGACAAUGUUCCAUUGGGCCGCAUAUCAACAUGGGAGAUGUGGAUUUCGAUCUAAAGUCCAGCCUCAUCACGAUGACACAUGCUAGCCCGUUCUGCGGCAAGCCUAAUGAGGAUGCCAAUGCUCAUUUGCAGCAGUUCCUGGAGAUUUGUAGUACGUACACCAUGAAGGGUGUCAGUCCUCCUUAAAGGCUCUUGUCUUUGCGCAAGCUAAAACCACUAAUGCCUUAAGCAAAAAGCUAGCUGUCAAUGACAAGGUCUUAGAGAACAUUAAUGUCAAGCUAGAUGGCUUCGCUUCUGCUUUCCAAAACUAGCUGAGCUUUACUAAGAUGAUAGAAACCCAGCUAGCUCAAUUGGCUUCAUAGGUACCUGCAAGUGAAUCUGGGAGAAUUCCGGGGCAGUCUGACUCCUCCAUUGAAAAUGUCAAGGCGAUCACAAUGAGGGGAGGUAAGUCCACUCGUGAUCCACCGUAUCCCAUGUUGAUGGUCGUUAUCGAUCAGUUUCGACCGUCAAUAUUACUAAAAUAGAGGAGAACUAGUGAUGCUUGCAAUGCAUAUAUCUGUUAGAAUAAUAAUAUUCCACUAGUAUUAGGUAUACUAACCUUUUGCAGAGAAUGACAAUAAAGUGGAGGAGAAUCGACAUCAACUCAGACGAUAAAUCAAUCGGACGGUAUCGAGAACCAGACUUACGUAUGAAUGGGCUAAGAACUCAGAAAUAACACGACACACUGGGCCAAAAUUCACAAGUCUACGGAGGAGGACAACAAAGGAGGCCGCAAGCAAAGAUGGGUUGGGUUGGGCCAGCCCAUGGUUUGGCCGAACCAUAGGGUUCGACGGAACCUCCCAUGGCGCUGAUGGAUGCAGGUUUUGGAUGGACGGCUGGGAUUGAUCCCCAAUGACAGUUGGAGGGUAUUAUCGACCAUUCCAACCGUUACAACCGUCAUUACCUGCCUAUAAAAGGAGCUCAUCUUCUCACUUCAAACACACACCUCAAGCAAUAGCUCUCUCAUAUUCUCUCAAGUUUAGUUUAGUAGUAUCUAGCUGGUGGAAUAGGAAUAUAGUAGAAAUCAGGAGUCCGGAAGUCUUCGGAAGAGUUCGGGUAUGACUCUAGUAGCUUUUCUCUUCUCUUUUGUACGCUUUGUACUUUUAUUAGAAUACUCUUCUAUAUACAUUUAUGGUAUUGAAAUACUUUCUGAGUAUAUGAAUGCCUACUUUACAUUAUGUUAAUGUUAUACUGAAUAUACGGCUUUUGUGCGGGUAUAAUAUUUACAUAUGCAAUUACUCUAUGUCAUGACGAUGAUAUUAGAGUACUAUCUGGUAGUUUAGAUGUGGUGUCUAGAUUGCGGGAUAUCAUUAUUUGGGGUUAUAUGCUGCGGAUGAGAGGUGGGCCGCUUAUAGUGACAGCUCAGUACGGGUAUUCCUCCGCGCCUGUAUAUAAUCCUAAGUUAAUUCCCUGGGGAGGGUAUUCCUCCGUAUUUAGCCCCGGUUGUAUGGUCAUGACGGGCUGUCGUAAGGAACUCGGCAGUCAGGGGUGGCUUCUCAAAGUACCAGGAGGGCAUCGGAUAGAGGGUAUUAGCUAGUAUAUCGGUUAACUAGAAUGUAUGUAUACUAUGUAUAUUAGAAGUAUAGGAAUAGAUUUUCUUUCUCUUUUCUUUCCACUUAGCUUAGAUAAUAUAUUAUGAGAAUGAGUAGCUAAUGCUUGUGUGUCACUCUACCCUUGGAAUACUCUCGGGUGAAAAGCUACAAUGUUAUAUCCGUGCGCUUGCGGACGUGCGCUUGCGGAUGAACUCUAUAACCAUAAUAUACCAGAAGUAUUUCUGCGUCAUUGCUGGGAAUUAUAUUUCUAGUAAUGUCGUUAAGAAAUACCAACAUCCUAACCCUAUAGGAACUAAUGGUAUCGCCAAGGAAGCACCAUCUAGUAAUUCGGCUGAUGAAGAGGUUCAACCAGAGAAGGCUGUGCUGCAGGAGUACUGCGACACACGGUUGCUGCCGUUUCCUCAAUGGAUUAGGAAACCAUCGGUGGACGAGCAGUUCACUCGUUUUGUUGAAGUAAUCCAGAAGAUUCACAUCAACAUGCCGUUGUUGGAUGCUAUGCAAGUGCCAACAUGUGCCCGUUAUCUCAAGGAUAUCCUCAACAACAAGAGACCGCUCCCAACAAAGGAGGUGGUCAAGCUGACGGAGCAAUGCAGCAAUGCCAUACUCCACAAGCUCCCAGAGAAGAAGAAAUAUUCGAGGUGUCCAACGAUCACCUGUUCGAUCGGGGCACAAUAGUUCGACCAAGCCUUGUGUGAUCUUGGAGCAAGUAUCAACGUCAUGCCCAAACACGUCUUUGACAAAUUCAACUUCACGGUAUUGGCACCAACACCGAUGCGCCUACUAGUAUUAAAUAAAUACGAUACCCUUAGAAUACUCUCGGGUGAAAUGCUACAAUGGUAUAUCCGUGCGCUUGCGAAUGAACUCUGUAACCAUAAUAUACCAGAAGUAUUUCUGCGCCAUUGCUGGGAAUUAUAUUUCUAGUAAUGUCGUUAAGAAAUACCAACAACAUUGUAUUCCCUCUGUUUCAUAAUGUAAGACUUUCCAGCACUGUCUACACUCAUAUAUAUGUUAAUGAAUCUAGACACAACAUCUAAAUAAAUAUGGACAAUGCUAGAAAGUCUUAUAUUAUGAAACGGAGGAAGUAUUUUAUAUAUGAUUCUAUAUAGUAUUUUGACCAUUAAUGACUGAGGAAUCAGACUACAUGAUAACAAUUUUCAAGGUUUCAUCACAAUGUCUACCUCUACAGGAAAUCAAAUAAUUCCAGAAAACACUGAGAAAUAGAACAGAGUUUUAUAUAUUUGCUCCGGCGCAUAUAUCUCAACCUUUCUUCAUUUUGCUCAUCUAGUUAUAUUUGGGAGUCGUACGGUGUGAGAAAUACGCGGGAGUAGAUCGUUGGGAAUCACAACAUCACAAGAUAAAUUUCGCUAGCGUCGGCGUGUAUCGAGGCACAUACAACAAGGUGUAGCAAGCGACAGAUCGAUUAAUUGCAGUCUGCAGACCAGUCGAAGCACACGUACCACAUCGGCAGCCAGCAGAUAUUCUUCAAAUAUUUAGUAGCUUACAUAUGUAAUCUACACAUGUUAGUUCUUGAGAAUAUCUCAUAUAGAUCAGGACUGCCAGCAGGAGGAAGCGACAUGGCGCAUAUACACAACGCUAGACAAGAUCUGCUCAGAAUACUCAGCACAAUUAUGUAUAAAUGUCGUAUUCAUAUACAUGUGUUUCGAACACUUUUGCAUCAAUAUUUCUCUUUAUAUCUACCGAAUUCAUGCCAUUUGUUUUUUUUAUGAAUUGUCAUGUUUUGGUCAAGGUAGUUUGAUUUUGUCGUCAAAAUUUAUAUUUUAAAAUUAUACAGUUCCAAUAUCUUAUUAUAUUUAUAAUAACUUAAAAUACUUAUAACAUUAUCUAUCUAUAGAAUAUUCAACUAUCCACAAAGAAGAACAUAGUAAGUUUAUUUUCAUUUGGAUAUUGCUAAAACAUUAGAAAUGCCAAACAGAUACAAUUCUAUACUUUAUGAGCUGCUAAAGAGGAUGCAUGAUAUAAUGAUGUUAAAAGAUAUCUCACAUCCACAAUAUAACGAUUGCAUUGAGUCUGAAUAGGACCACAAUUCCUGUUUACAAAAUUAAAUACUGAGGUUAUUAGCAAUAUAGGAUUUCUGGAAAAUAAUAUUAAAAAUAAAAGAAAAUACAGAAUAGUUUGGACAAAAGAAUAUAUUGUGUUUGUUCGAUUAGUCCAAAUGACUCUUUUUUAAAAAAAUAAAGUUACCCUGUGCAACGCACGGGUUAACGUCUAGUAAGACAAAAUACAACAUGGAGAUGCGUGCAAUUUUUCUGAUUGAUGCUAUGCAAGCACAUGUUCAGAAAAUCCAGAAAAUAGAUUGUGCACAUUAAGGCCCUGUUUAGUUCCCAAACCAAAAAAAUUUCACCCUUCACAUCGAAUGUUUAGACAUAUGCAUGUAGUAUUAAAUAUAAAAAUAAAACUAAUUACAUAGAUUGAAUGUAAAUUGCGAGUCGAAUCUUUUAAGCCUAAUUGCGCCAUGAUGCGAUAACAUGGUGUUACAGUAAACAUUUGCUAAUGAAGGAUUAAUUAGGCUUAAUAAAUUCAUCUCGCAGUUUUCAGGCGGAAUCUGUAAUUCGUUUUGUUAUUAGUCUACGCAAAUAUGUGUACGUAUAUCCGAUGUGACAUGCCAAAAAUUUUCAUUCGCGAACUAAACUAGCCCUAAAUCUACUUUUCUGAACUAGUUACUAUUUUCCUUUCAACAUACGGUUAAAUUUGUAUAAAAAAGCAAGGAGAACAUACAAGUUCUAAGAUUUUCAGAUUUCUGAAUUCGAAACAUGCACAGAACUGAACAUGGUCGGUGCUAACUAAUAAAACAUCAUCUUUAACUAAAUUUGCCAACUAAAAUUUCAGAACAUAAAUAACCACUAUUUGAGUGGAAAAUGCGCGUAUUGACCUAGUUACUAGUUACUAUUAACUGUUGAAUUUUAUGUUGGCAACAUGAAAUUUUGGAGAAUAAAAGCUGACCUGAAAAAAGAGAAUGAACAAAUGCUGUCCCAUUCUUUCUGAACACAGCCAUUUUGAACCCCUUAUCCACACGCAAGGAUUCCCUUUGGCACUAGUCGAAUCUGAACACGCCUUUCACGAGAAAAUAUCAAUGGUUGACAAAAACAAAUAUGAUAUUGAUAGCACUGUCAGUCUAUCACAAGCAUGCAUUAGCUACUCAGCACAAAAAUAUUAAAAAUUUAACAGUUGAUGUAUUAAAAAUUCAAUACAAAUCUACUGAAUCUCAUCCUAUCCCAAACUCAAGAUGCAUUACUUGGCCAAGAACCUAUCCUUUGCAGUACAUAGCUCACCUUCCCUACUUCAAGAAACACACAAUUUUACAAAAACAAUCACUCUGACUUCCCUUGUCUGAUAUAGCUAUUAGAAAAUUAUUAGUCCUAGUAGAGGACAAAACUAAGGAGAACAUGACAGGGGAGACUGCAGGAGAGGGAGAACAAAAGGAAGGUAAUGUACUAAGUAUUCUUUAUUGCUAACAAAAGUAAAAAUACUAUCUAUUCAUAGUGAAGUUCUAAAAUUACUAGUUUCCUCUAAAAUGUUCAGAACAUAAUCAUGCAAUGCUAACAUUUUCAGGAAAAGAUGCAGUGUUUGGAGGCUAGCAAAAUGGCAUGAUCAAGAAGGAGUUGGUGAUACUCAAAGUAUUUGAAAAACUAAAAGCUUACAUCAAUCAGUAUCUAGUCUUCUACUGCAUUAGGUAGCUAAAAUUCACAGAUAUCAGGCUUAGUUAACUUUAAUCUUCUACUGCACAAAUGUUUUGUUAUUCUCAAACGGUUUUCUUUUGGAAGCAUUGGUCAAAGAAGAUAUCACUGAGUGAUCUUAAGUGGUGGAGUAGAUAGCAUCAGCCGUUUCCCCCCUAACCGUACAAUCUGCGCAUCCCCAUCCUGUCUGCUACUCAUGUAAUGCGCGAAAAAACUCCCAUGCGCAUUUUUAAGUUUUUAUUUUUUUAAUAUUUACAGAAAUAUUAUACCAUCCCUGCCAACCAAAUGGAGGGCGGCAAGGUGUGCGCAUUUUGCACUGAGGUCCCUUGCCGCCCUCUGCAAGGAGGCAAAUGCAAUUUUCGCCCUGCCAAAAAUACAUUUUUCUAGUUUUUUUUUCAUCUUGUCUGUCUCUCAUGUCACCCUGCCACUCUCGGGGAGGGCGGCAGGGUCUACUUCUGUAAAUAUUUUCACCGGUACAAUAUUUCUAUAAAUAUUAAAAAUAAAAAAUUUAAAAUGAAAAAAAUUCUCACAUGCGCGCGAUUUGUUGCUUCAUCAUGUGGGUUUUGUUGGGCCAGAGCCAGCAGCCCGUCUUGGGUGGAGAAAAAAAAGCCCACAACGUUUUGUCCUCUGUAAAUAAAAGCCCACAGUCCUAGAAAAGUUGUGACUUUUUUUCGGUUUUAGAUUUUUUUUUAAUAUUUACAGAAAUAAUCUAUCGACCAAAAAAAUUGCAGAAAUAGCCCCUGCCGCCCACCUCUGGGGCGGCAAGCUGACGUGGCAAACGGGGGAGGAACGGGCGGUGACGGAGGGAGGGUUUUUUGCAGGAAAACCCUUGCCGCUCUCUGGUGGGGCGGCAAGGGGCCCGAAUGCAAAAAAGCCAGUCGGGGCCGGCUAUUUUGCAGGCAGCCCCUUGCCGCCCUCUAGCCGGGUGGCAGGCCUCGCUGCCUAUAAAAGGCCUGCUGCCCAGCCCCCAGCCCUCAUUCUUCUCUCCUCAAUUCCAGUGAAAAAAAAGAAGAGAGGGGAGGAGAAGAGAAGAAGGGGCGAAGCCCUGCCGGAUUCAGACGCCGAUUUCAGGUAAUAUUCAUAGAUCCUAUAUGUGACUAUUGAGUUAAAUAGUGUGUAUUCUUUAAAAAUUUGUUUGAAUAAAUGCAUUAUAUUUUUAGGGUUUUAGUUUUACUAAUCUAGAAGUGCGUAUUGUAGAUAUCGGUAACUACGUAGAUCUGCUAGUUUGGAAUUAAUACAUUACCGUUGCAUUGGCUUACACAAGAAGAUAUUACGUUGUAGAUGUUUAUUGCAUGAAAGAGUAAUAUGAUCUAGUUAUUUCGUUGACAGAUAUGUCGAACAAACAAAUAUUCCAAGUUUACCAUGGACCAGGAAACGUCCGUUACGGGCCAACUGGGGUAGAUCUGUCAGAUUUUAUUGUAUCAGAAAGGGGAAUUGAUAGACCGGCUGAGAGGAGUGUACCUUCUAUAAAAGGAUUGUUAAUGAGGGGCUUGAGAGUUGAUCCACAGACAAGUGACAUAACAAUCAAUGUUAUAGUAAGUCGGGCAACUGAGGGUUUUUAUUGGGAACUAAUGCCAGUUCAAAACUCUCGAGUGUGGAGAUGGUAUUUGGAAAAUGCAUUGCAACGCGGGUGGCCUCUAGCUUUGGUUCCGUUUGUUCACCCGAAGGAUCCAGGUGUGCAGACGAACAUGGAUGAUGGUGAGGGACCAAGUGCUGAAGUAAACGAGACUUCUGUGGAGGAGGUCAACGCACGAGAGGACGGGGGCGUAGUAGCUCUAGUGGGCAUUCAACCAGGUGGAGUGGCCGACGAGGGGGAGACUGUCGGUGCCAUUGUGGAUAAAAUGGAGAGGGAGGAUUCUGACAACGAGCGUGUAGAGGAAGGUGAUUCGUCAGAUGAUGAGACGGAUAUUAAUCCAGAAGAAUGGGCUAGUGAGGAUUUUUCUGGGCUGAUCGUCUCUGAAGAGGAUAGUGUGAGAUGGGAGUACAAAGAAAAUGAGGUUAUUCAGGGAGCGAUUUAUAGUAAAGCAGAAGAUAUGAAGGAGGCGGUAAAACAUUUUGCAGUGUCACUUCAUAGAGAGUUUUGGGUUGCCAAGUCGAACCGGUCGCAAUAUGAAGUUCGGUGUGUUAAGGAAAAAGAUGGUUGUCCCUGAAGAGUGCACGCGUAUAAGGGGAAAUGGAAGGAUUAUUGGAUAGUGUCAGUUGUUACCAAGCAUACAUGUUUUCUACCUGGUGUUCAGAAAUACCACAGGAACAUUACAUGUGCAUUUGUUGCAUCUGAGAUGUAUGCGCAUGUCAUUGAUAAUCUCACAUAUGAACCAAGGUCAAUAAUCCGACACAUUGAAGAGACAUACAAGUAUACUAUUAGCUAUGCCAAGGCCUGGAGGGCCAAACAGAAAAUAAUAGAGAUGAUAUUUGGAACUUACGAAGCCUCGUAUGACAAUUUGCCACGCCUGCUUGGUGUUAUCGAGGAAAGAAACCCUGGGAGCUCUUACAAAGUGAAGAAAUUACCCUCAAUUGAACAUCCUGGCAAGAGUGUGCUGCAAAGGGCGUUCUUAGCUCUACAUGCAUGCAAGAUGGCAUUCGUGAACUGUCGUCCUGUUCUCUGCAUUGAUGGGACAUUCUUGACAGGAAAGUAUCGGGGCCAGAUACUAACAGCAAUAGGGGUAGAUGGGAACAAUCAGGUAUUGCCCUUGGCAUUUGCUUUUGUUGAGAGUGAGAAUACCGACAGCUGGUACUGGUUCCUAAAAUUGGUUAAAACAAAAGUUGUUGGUAUGAGGCCAAAUGUAUGCCUGAUACAUGAUAGGCACGCUGGCAUUCUGCGAGCGAUAGGAGAGUUGCAGUUUGGGAGUAUGGAACGAGGAUACCCCGGUGUUUGGGAAGAUGUACAGAGUAGGUGGUGCAUGCAUCAUAUGGGAGCUAAUUUCUUCAAGCAAUUCAAGAACAAGGAGCUCAUGAACAUGUUCAAGAGGCUGUGCAAUCAGAACCAGGAGAAAAAAUUCAAUGAGCUUUAGAAGAGAUUAGAUGAGUUGACAGCCAAAUGCAGCGAUCAGCGUGCAGCGGCUCCAUCGACCGCCGUUGCUGACCCUCCUCAAGCUCUUGGACCUCUCCCAACGGAUAGUCCAACAUUGGUUAGAAGAACUGGAUUGGAGAUUCGGAAAUUUUCUCAGUGGAUUCUGCAUGAAUCAAAAGAGAAAUGGGCCAAGGUGUAUGACACAGGUGGUGCUAGAUAUGGAAUAAUGACAACAAAUUUGGCAGAAGUUUACAACUGGGUGAUGCGCGGUGUCCGUGGACUGCCACUAGUUGGCAUAGUGGAGUUCAUUUUACAUGGGACAUGCAGGUAUUUUAGGGAUCAGUUCCAGGCAGUUCUUCCCUCUAUGCCGAACAACAGCAUUUUGUUUGGAGCUUUCGUGCAGAAAAAGCUAGAGGAGUUGCGUAAAAAGGCCAUGAAACAUCGAGCUCUAGUGCAAGGUACCCAACAGCUCAUGUUUGAGAUACUAUGUCAAGAUAAGGCAGGCAGGGGUAUCUACCGCAAGAGUGAAGCAGGAGUGUGUUCUCAAAGCCGACGGCACAUGUCAUUGCUCUUGUGCAAAGCCGAAGCUGCUCCACAGGCCAUGCACCCAUGUCAUUGCUGCCGCAGCGGAGUGUGGCAUACCAGAUGCAGUAUAUGUGUCACAGUACUUCAGUAAGUAAGCAAUAUAUCAUACAUGGAGCGGUGAGAUUUAUAGUUUCGGCAUAGCUGGGGAGUUCACAGAGACUAACGAUGAAGUACUCAAUAUUCCUGACCCAUCGAAGCUCCGAGGUAAGGCUGGAAGGAGGAGGACUCGUCGCAUCCGCAACGAUAUGGACGAGUCGGAGGCUGGCAGGGUGAAGCGUUGCAGCAAAUGCGAUGAACAUGGGCACACCUACAAGCAUUGUCCUAAAGACAAGGAGAAACCAAGUGCGGCGGAGGCAGGACUAUCAGGAUCAGCAGCAGAUGGAGCUCGCCCUACGGGUGAAGGCACUACCUCCACUCGACCACGUCCUAGGCGUCGUCGUGCCACGCCUGGCUACGUGGUGUAGUUCUUAUGUUCUAUGUCGGCAUGUGGAUUUGCUUGUAAUUCGUUUCGAACUUAUCGAUGUGUUUAUGUUUCGCCGUGUAAUGCCAGACUUCGGCAUGUCAUGUCUUUAGGUCUCGUGAUGUAACGUCGGACUAAGGCGCCUAACGUCUUUAGGUAUGCUGAUGUAUGUCGGACUUCGACACGUAAUGUUAUGUUAUAUUAUUGAACUCUACAUAUAUGUUAAAUUGCACGUCAUCGUUAUGUACCACUAGUAACGUUUGCUAUAUUUAAAUAGCCUGUACUCUUGUUGUACAUAAUUAAUCUCAUGAUUUUAUUACUAUUUCAUAAUUUUGCAAGUUAUCUUUUGUUUUACAGUACUAUUUUUUGAAUUGUUCUAACACGAAACACUAUAUUUUUCAGAGAUGGCACGUCAGGAUACACCUCAGUUGUUGGACCCGGCGAUAGAUCACCGACACCGGUCUCACCUUACUGCGGUGCAGGGGGCUCAGCUUGGGACGAUCCGGGCACGGACGUGCGGUGAGCUACUCACAGUUCACGACUCCUUUGUCGAGAGGUACGAACAGUGUUUUACUAUAAGUUAGUUGCACUGUAAUAUUUUUUAUAAUGACAUUAAUUUGUUAUUGCAGGCUACGUGAGGCCGGCCUCCUACCGAUGUGUCGGCUGGUGGAGGCUGCGGCCGGCGACGCGGACCCGGCCAGACGAUGGACUGUGGACAGGUCCCUCCUAGCAGCUUUGGUCGAUUGAUGGAGGCCAGAGACGCACACUUUUCACUUGCCGUGCGGUGAGGUAGCCCCUACCCUACAGGACAUAUCGUACUUGUUGGGGCUACCGCUAGCAGGAGACGCUGUUGGGCCAGUGACCACGGCUGUGGACUGGCAGGACGAUCUGACGGCACGUUUCGCACUAGUACAGCGCGCACCGCACCUCCCGCUCGAGCCGUUGGCACACCACCGCAACACCGGACCUACGAAGAGGUGGCUGCUUCAGUUCACUGUGAGUGUUUUUGUACCGAAAUGACAAUCGUAUUACAUAUUUAGUCCGCAGUUAAGGUGCCUAACAUUUUAUCGACGGCUUGCUGGUUGAGCAGCUACAGGCGGAGGCCGACGAGUACUCCUACAGCCGAUGUUUGGAGGCGUACUUGCUCUGGCUUUUUGGCUGGGUGAUGUUCUGUGGCGGUCACGGGCACUCGGUCGACAAGGGACUCGUGCACUACGCCAGGAGCAUCGCCGACGCCGCGGUAGGCGUGGUGCCUCAGUGGAGCUGGGGUUCCGCGUUGUUGGCGGCUCUGUACCGUGCACUUUGUGAGUCUUGCACGAAGACGGAUCCCAGCGCGACCUUUGGUGGGUGCCCUCUCUUUCUUUCUAUCUGGGCAGCUGAGAGGAUUGCGAUCGGCCGCCCUGAGGUGGACCAGCACGCGUACGAGGAGUCACUGUACGAGGAGCGACCAGAGGUCGACUACCCUACGAUGGGUACUCUGUGGUGCUGUCGUCAGGUACGUUGCAUCGAUCUUAUCGUAUUGUUAAGUUAAUUGUUAAGUUAAUUGUACAUCACAUCGAUCGUCUCGUAUUGCAGCGCCGAUGGGCCCACGUCCAGGUUAGGCGGUCGUAUCCUGAGUUUGUUAUGGAGUUCGACCGCCUUCUGCCGACUGACGUCGUGUGGGAGCCCUACAGUGCCACGGCUACCCAGGCUCGUGUGCCGUUGGGUCUGUCCACACUCUGCACCAGGGACCAGGCGUACUGGAUGACUACAGUUCCGAUGGUCUUCGACAUCUGCGUUGAGCCUCACGCCCCUUUCCGCGUGAUGCGGCAGUUCGGCUUCCGUCAGCCCUUUCCAGUACCGUUUCCGACCACCGUCCCAGCUGCUGUUCACCGGUAAGAUCUUGCACUACGCUUUCCGUUGUUGCAUUAAAAUCUGCCUGUUCACAAUAAUUUGUAACAUCUGUCGUUUCACACUAAUAUUACACAUUAAUUCGCAGGUACUCGCGCAAGGGUCAGCAGUCAGCUGGCGACUGGCCCGCCAAGUUGGCGACUUUUGUUGAGGACUGGUUGCUCGCAACCGAGGAGGUCGUGGACCACGAGGGAGAGCCACACACUGAGGAGUCGUACCAGGCCUACCUACGCUGGUACCAGCCACGCACCCGUACUAGGGUCACCUUCGCUCCCUUGGAGCAGCAGCCCCACGUUGCGAGCACUAGAGACCUCUAUGCCAGGCACCGCGACCAGGACUUCGCUCGUGCUGUGAGUACCCUGCAUCGCACCAUUCCUUUAUGUUUUCAUGUCUUUCUCUUCGUCAAAUUUUACGAAUAUUUACGAACAAAUUAACCAUGCAGGUCGACGACAUCAACCGGGUCGUCGUUGACGGUUCAACGACGACCAACGUUUAGGCGCGGGGAUUCCGGUACCCAUAGAGGAGCACCUGACGAUGUACAUGCGGAUGGUGGAGUCGAUGCGCUCGAUUCUCCGAGUGCUCACCUGUCAUGCAGACGACGUUGCUCGGGCAGACGCAGCUGUACAGCGGCCACCCGUACCGACUGGUCCCCGUCCAGCUGCGCACGUUCCUAGGCCGACUCCCCCUCCGCACGGAGGUAAGUAUUUUUAUUACUAUUUCUGUACAUGCCUCGCACAUAUAAGUGAGCCGUUUCACUUGCCGAUUGCUUCAGGGUUUCGUGCACCGUUCAGCACCCCACCUUCCUCGGCUAGGCCUUCUGUUGUGCCCCCCACAGGUACUUAAAAAAACAACAUUACUUCGACAAUCAAUUUACAUACAUUUUAUGUCUUAGCUUACAAGGGUCCCGUUGUCGAUGUGUAGGUUUCGCCCAGUUCGCUAUGACGCAGGCCGCCCACUUCUCCCAGGCUGCAGGGUCAGUGUCUCAGGCAGCUGUGUCGACCUCGCACUCAGCGCAGUUCUGGCAGUACACUGGGACUUCGUCACAGGCAGCCGGCACGUCGAGUCAGGGUCCACCACUGGACCAUGCUGGGACCUCGUCGGACUGCUUGUUGCCUUCCACCUUCCUCUUCGACAUCACUGACUUCGACUUCGCUUCAGGCUCGACAGAGGACGUCAUCGGCCCCUCACAGCUGGGAGGCGCACCGCCGGUGCAGACGCAGGACCAGGCGUAGGCCACUCCUUCGCGGGACACUCGUGUUACCCGUGCUGUGCCACCGGAUCAUUUCACCUACUCCCAGGACCACGUGCGAGCACAGGCCCGGAGGAUCAAGCAUGGUUGCGGCGCGUGGCAGGGCCAGUAGAGCAGUCUUCUCUUUGUUUACUUGCUUCACUUUCCAGUACUGUAUGCUUGUGUAAUGACUACGUUGUUGUUAUAUGUGCACGAUACCUUUCGGCGCAUGCACGAUACCUUUCGGCGCAUGCACGACUACUUUCUGCCGCACCGAUGCAGCCUCCUUUAUUCGCGUGUGAUACGAGUAUUUGCCCGCCAUUUGGCGCAUACGACCAAUGUAACUUUCGGCGCCGAUCAUGCAUGUAUCUUUCGGCGCCAAUCAGGCGUACCCACCAUACCCCACCACGUUCACAUGUCAGGGGUAUCACUCGAUUUUUUGCGCCUAUAUAAGUCGCCUUAACGAGUGAGGCCUCACAAUCUUUCAGAACUCAGUCACAUUCAGUACUCUCUUCCCCACUUGCUUCAUUACAAAUCCGACCGACUUUCGUCAAUGGCUAGACGCCGAGGUGUUGAGGAUCCAAACUGGUGUAGCGAUCCUUGUGUAUACCUACUACCACCUUGGUGCCAGCGUCCUCUCUGCCUAUGCGGUGAUCGAUGCCAACUAAUGGCUUCGAGGAAUCCUGAUAUUCGAGGAAGGCGCUUUUUUAGGUGCCCUAACUAUGACCGUGAGGUAUUUUAUUAUCUGCAUAUGCUUAUUCAUUCCGUAUGGGCAAUCGCUUUAUUCUUCGUAACACUACUCUAUUCGACAGACCCGCACUACGGCUUGCGCAUACAUCGAGUGGGUCGAUACAGAAAAUCCCGUUCUCGACUUAACCACUUGUUUACAAGAAGGUCGCUGGUAUUUCGCAUCCGAAAGUACUGAGCAAUACUUACAGAGAAAAGCGGCUUAUGAACGACAAUGUCGUGAACAACAGAGCGACUGGCGGGUGCUAACUACGGCACUCCCUCCAUGGGAAGCCCGUCCAAGAUGCAGGUGUGGUGAUCAUUGUCAGGUUCUUCGUUCCAUAAAUCCUACAACAUUGGGUCGAAGGUUCUUUGUUUGUCCAAAUAUUCUUGACGACGAUUUUAUGGUAAGAAUAUUUUGAUUACAUGAAUCCUUAUUUUCUCACAACAUUUACUAACUUUGCUUGCUUUACAUCUAUUCUUUCCUCCUAGGAACCACCAAGGAGAUGUCAAUAUAGAGAAUGGAUAGACACCAGAAGGGUUCUAACUCCACCUAGCCGUGUUAUGCAGCUUGAACUACCAGAGCAAUACAGGGUUACUAAAGCGCGGUUUGAGAGAGGAGAGGGAUCCUCACGUAGGGGUUAGCUAUUAUCGGACAACUUGGCAUAUUGAAAUUUCUACUGUCAUGCUUCCUUGUCCCAUUACUACAUCGUCGUUGUGUUCAACUAUUGCACUACCUCUCUCCUAGUUCGAAUCUAAUAUCAUCUAUGUAACCGCAAUGCAAAUAGUUGUAUCAUGUUCAAAUUGUACUACUAUUUCUUCAUGUUACAUAAUUCUCCUUGUUUAAGUCCAUAUAAUGUUUCUACGACCCAGACUGCGAUAGGCCUAUAUAAAUUAUCCGAGUACUAAUACGUCGAAUAAGGUACAAAAUAAUACCUCACUUAACAUAUGAAAUUGCGCAACAACCAACUUCAAUACAUUUUUAUAACAAUAUUAACAAGUUUUACCAAUAAAUACUUCUUUAUUUAUUAUUAACAUAACAUAGAAAAAUCUUUUGGCCGUACUUUUUUCAUCUGGGUCCCUUGCCGCUCUCUAUUGGGGCAGCAAGGGACCCGGAUGAAAAAGUACGGCCGCAAGCUCUUUAUGGGCGGCCAAAAUUGCAAUUAGCCCCUUGCCGCCCUCUGUACGGGCGGCAAGGGCCUAAUCGCAAUUUUGGCCGAUGGCGGCAGAUGGCGCGGUCGAUCCACCGUCUGCCACGUCAGCUUACCGCCCACCAUUAGGGCGGCAGGGGCUAUUUCUGUAAUUUUUUUGGUCGAUAGAUUAUUUCUGUAAAUAUUAAAAAAAAAAUCUAAAAACGAAAAAAAUUCGAAAAGUUGUUAUCUGUGCAAACAAAAGCCACAACCCAGAAACGUUUUGUCAUCUCCAUUUGGUUUCUUCAACCAGAAAUUUGUGGUCUUUCUUUGAUUGUCAGAUCAGAAAAAAAGAGAUCAAAUCCAGGCUGGAAGAAAAGAAGAGAUCGACCAAAAGAGAGGAGCCAAAAUAGAUGGAGAAAGAAGAAAAAACUCAUAAAAAUCAUCGAAUAUAUUCAGAGAGAAAAAAUGGCUUCAUCUCUGAUCUAGAUGCCCUGCAAGCCUGCCUGUUGCAUGGCUGCUGCAAUGCACUGCUAUGCAUGAUUACCAAAGCCACCAAAUAGAAAUCUAAAAACAAUGGUGGUGUUUGAAUCGGCUGAAGAUGAAGAUUACUCCCUCCGUCCUAUAAUAUUACAACCUAGGACUGGAUGGGAUGUUUCAUAGUACAAUGAAUCUGGACAUGCAUCUAUCCAGAUUCGUUGUAUUAUGAAACGUUCCAUCCAGUCCUAGGUUUUAAUAUUAUGGGACGGAGGGAGUAAGUGUUUCACGCAAAACGAGGUGGUAAUAAUAUGUGAUUAAUUGAGUUUUAAUUAUUACAAACUUGCAAAAUGGAGUAAUAUGAUAUUUUAGAACAACUUUCAUAUAUAAAGUUUUCGCACGAAACACACCGUUUAGCCCUGCUUGCAGUGGAAUCGAAUGCAGCCAAUGUGUAACUUCUGCAUAGGGAUGCAGUACUGAAAAAUAUGGCAAGCAAUAUGACAAGCAAAUAUCAGCAUUAAGAACGAUUUCUAGUGGUUAGGCUAUGACAUAAAUAAGUGAUAAACUGAUUAAUAUGUACCAAAAUUAUAAAAAUAGAAAUCAGGCUUAUUUAGGAAAUGUCGACAAAAGCGAUACAAAAUGUUACUCCUAUCUACUUUGAGAUGACCAAAUAUUUUAUAAAAUUCUAUCUACAUGACCAAGUAGAUAGACUAGGAACACUCACUUUUAUUUUCUGAAGUAAACUUCGAAGUAAUCUCCCACUGCCCCGCACGCUGCAAGCGCUUCGCCCAAUCGCACGCCUCUAUGUCCAAGGCUUAUUUGCCUAAUCGUGGGUCCUCAGGUAGGCUUCUGAGCAUUAUAUCCUUGCUUAUCUCUUCUUCCGCUCCACCUCCGCCGCCGCAGGGCUUGCCAUCAGUUGUUGCUGCGCUGCUUUAUCGGCACGAAUUCUUGUAUUUGCUAUGUUUUCUGGUCAAACACCUAAAAAUUGGGCAACUUAGAAAUUAGUAACAAAAUAUGUUAGCUUUAGUAAAAUAUGGAACACAAUAGAAAGAUGUAGCUAAAAUUUAAUAACUGAAAAAGACAAAACAAAUAAUAUGAUUUUAUAGUUGCUAUCAUUUAGAUAGAACACCAGCUUGAUUAAUAUGUGGGAAGAUUUUAAAAUCCGACAAAGACAAAUAAGACAAACACCAACAAAAUACAAAACCGGUAGAUGAUAGGGCUAUGACCUAGAUAAUAUGAUUUCAUAGUUGUUAUUAAGAUAGCGCAUUAGGUUGAUUAAUAUGUAGGAAAAUUAUAAAAGUUGCAAAGACAAAGACAAAAUACAAACACAAUACGACAAAAGUUUAAAUUGUGAGAUGCUGACAAAACAAAAAAUGAUAAAAAAAUUUUAAAAUACGUUCGCCGCCAUUAAACGCAUCAUGGUCGCGUGCCGCGUCGACGCGAUUACAAAACUGGAAUGGGCUUAAGCCCUUCAUAUGAAAUUAAUAUAGUUUUCUCGGUAGAAUGCCAGGAACAAAGAAGCCCACUAAUUAAAAGCACUUGGGCGUUGGACCUUUUUCAGUGACUUUAAAAAAGCUCACUCUAUCAAACGAUUAAAAAAACAAUAAAUGGAUUUAAUCACAGGAGCAAAAAUCAUACAUGAUACAGGAGCAAAAAUCGUAAAGCAGAAAAACUUCAUCCAUGGCCUUGCCGUAUCCAUGACCAUAAGUUUCAAAUCCCUCAGACAUCAUCUAAUACUUUAUCUCAUGAAUGUUAUGCUUGCCAUGUAUAGUUCUACAAGCUAUCGUAUAAAACAGUGAGAAUUUUUAAUUACAGAAGAAGAGUACAACAUCAACCCAGUAGGGUAGGUUUCAGUGAUCUCACCUCAGCGGUUAUGCAAAUACUUGACAUCAGACCAGCAAAAUUUCAUCCAAGGCCUUGCCUCAACCCUCCCAAAAAUCUUAGCUUCUGAGGAAGCAUUCAACACAUUAUUAAGCAGUGGCAAAAAUAUAUCAUCCUAGAGCAAACAUCAAGUUGUUAGCUUCAAAAUGAAAUAUGUCUGAGAAAACAUCACUGUCAGAAAACCCCAAACCCAGCUAGAUAAACAUAAAGAUCCUUGAUCCAACUUAGGCAAGCAUAAAUGGUGCACGCAAACACCUAUGUCAAAGCAUCUAUCACAUGGAGGAACAACACUAGCUAUGUGCUAUAUUCAACAUGCUUAUAAAAUAAAAAGUAGGAAAUUAAUUCCUAUGGCUGGCCAUUUAUGUACUACAGAAACUAUGCUCAUUUCAUCUAAAGUAUAUUGUGCAAAAGAAUAGCCUAACAGCCAGAUAAACCAAUAGAUUUGUAGUAGACAGUGAACAUCUGAAUUGGAAGAAAUCAGGAUUUCUGAAAUUCAAGAACACACACAAUUUUUAUAGCAGAAGAUGGAUCAGCACCAAGUUUAUAGCAGCACCUUUAUUGUAACAGUGAACUAGUGUGUCGCAUACAUGAUCAGUUCCAUGUAACAAGAACUUGCCAAGUUAGUGUACUGCAUACCAGAACUUGACAAAAUAAAAUAAAAAUUUUAAAAUCUGACAAAAACAAAAAACAAAAAAAAAUACAAAUAUGAAAAAAUGACUUAUUUUGAAACAAAACAAAGGGACAAAACUACAAAUGGGACACACAAAAGGUAUUUCUUUGUAAAAAAAUUUUAAAAAAGCCCACAACGUUUUUUCCAUUAUGUUUGUUUCUGUCCGAUUGUUAUAUUUUUGCUACAUAUUAAUUAGGUUGAUGCGCUACCGAUAGUAACUAUAAAAUCAUAUUAUUUACUCCGUUUCAGGUUAUAAGACGUUUUGACUUUGGUCAAAGUCAAACUGCUUUAAGUUUGACUAAGUUUGUAGAAAAAGGCAAAAACAUUUUCAACCCAAGACAAAUUUAUUGUGAAAAUAUAUUCAAUUAUUGAUUUGAUUAAACUAAUUUAGUAUUAUAAAUAUUAUUAUAUUUAUCUAUAAACUUGAAACAUUUUGAUUUUGACCAAAUUCAAAACGUAUUAUAACUUGAAACGGAGGGAGUAGAUCGUAGCCUAUCUUCUGUUGGUUUUGUAUUUUGUCGUAGCCUAAUUUCACAACACUGAAAAUUAUUAGUUCAAUUGAACGGCAAGUUUAAUGGUGGUAGCUAUGGCUAAGGAGUUCACACAUAUCCUUAAUGAAGAGAUAAUUUUUGUGCAUGGCAUAAGAAAAUAAGGAUUGUCACUGGCAGUCUAUGAAUGUAUACAAAGUGAUUUGAGGGUCUAUAGAGAAGAAAGACUUGCUGUGUAAUAACUAUUUCAUCAAAUAGAAAUUCUAGCUCAAAGUUACGUAACAUGUUCGUCUUAUAUACAGACAUCAGGAGGAGAGUGUCUCAAACAAGAACAUGCAUAGAAUAUAUGAUUAGAGCAUACCUAAUCUUAAAAAAAGAUAUGCACAGAACAUCCUCACACAUAUCCUGUGAUUAAAUCUAUUUAUUCUUUUUAUAACCGUUUGAUAGAGUGAGCUUUUUUUUAAGUCACUGAAGAAGGUCCAAUGCCCAAGCUUUUAGGCUGUGUUAUUUCCCAUGGGUUAAUAAAAGCUGUGUUCUUUCCCAUGGGUUAAUCCAUUUUUCAAGUUUUUAUAACUAAUAAUUAAUUAAUCACAUGUUAGUCUGUCGCUUUGUUUUCCAUGCAGAGGGGAGGGGUUCCCAACCCCUCCAAAAGAACACUGCCUUAGUGGGCUUCUUUAUUUCUGGCAUUCUACGAAGAAAAGUAUAUUUGAUAUGAAGUGCUUAAGCCCAUUCCAGUUUUUUAAUCUUUUGUUGUUGCUGUUUUUUUCUGGACGUGUCUUUCUUGGAGAUAGGUAAGGCUAAUUUUUUUCUCAUAUAUAUUGAUAUGAUAUCUGUACUGGGAACUAAAACAUAUUUUUUUAUAUAGAUUACACGACAGACGCACAUGCACACAUACCACUACACACGCAACACCACACUCACACCCCUACGAAUACGUCACUUAACACAUGCUUUAAGAGACGAAAACCAGUGGCACAUCCCUGGUUUCACUAAAAUCCUGUUGAAAGUCCACCUGUAUGUGCAUAAUAUUUGUGGGCAUUGCUCCAUAUACAGUCAAAGUGGAAAGGUAGGGAUAAUGAGUGAGCACUGCAUUUGCUAAGCUCUACAUUGAGAUAAAUGACAUAAGUAAUUUGUAUCAGGGAUGUUGGUUCGUUUUAUAUCAUUGGGUUGAAAAAUGAAAGUGGAGCCCAUGCUUUUCAAAAAAUAUCAGCACCCUCCCACCUAGAGGAGCUGAUACAACAUUAUCAGUACGUAAGCAAGACCCUAUUUAGUUGGCGAGACGAAAAGUUUUGGCGUGUUACAUCGGAUAUAUGUACACACAUUUAAAAGAUUAAACAUAGUCUAAUAACAAAAUAAAUUACAGAUUCCGCCUGUAAACUGCGAGACAAAUUUAUUAAGCUUAAUUAAUCUGUCAUUAGCAAAUAUUUACUGUAGCACCAUAUUGUCAAAUCAUGGCGCAAUUAGGCUUAAAAGAUUUGUCUCGCAAUUACAUGCAAUCUAUGUAAUUAGUUUUUUUCUAUAUUUAAUACUUCACACAUGUGUCAAACAUUCGAUGUGACAGAGUGAAAAAUUUUUGUUUGGGAACUAAACAUGGCCCAAGUUAAAGACAUGAAUUUCACCCGACAUUGAAUUUCACUGAUCACUGCUUUCUGUUCCCGACAUGGCCUACUUUAUCAAUCACAAGCAGCCACCCUUAUUGCGAGUAAAGAAUAGUAGUGACUGUUUUGUUUUACAAAAUCAAGGUGUCAAAUUGGCAUUAUCAAUGAAUGGUACCUGACCUAAUGUUUUUUCCUGGGUUUCGGAUCUGUGAUGUGAAGAAAGCUGGAUGUGUAGCUCCGGAAUUCAGGUAUUGCUUUUUGUUCAGGGGUGUAGGAAUGUUUAGAAAACAAAAAUCUAAAUGCACUCGCACAUACUUCAUACAGGAGUUGAUAAUUGAUUAGCUAAGCAAAUCAUGUGGGGAUUCUGAAGCACAGAUUGAAAAAGAGCACACAAAAAGUUCAUUUGGAGGUUCUGAAGCACAGAUUAAAUCUAUAACAUGCGGGGAUGAAGCAAUCAAGAGGAUGAGGAUGGAAGAACCCAAGUUGGGCUUCAAAUUUUUUUUUGAAUUUGUUUUUUGUGGAUAGGUGAGGCCGUGAGGGCCAUUUUAAGCCCGUUUGUUUGUUUGUUGGGCAUCAAAUAUGUAUGAUAUUUAAGCCCGUUUGUUUUUUGGGCUUAUCUAAUAGACAAAACGAAAAAGGGCUUCAUGCUUUGAUCUGACAAAACAAACUGCAGAGAAACGCUAUGCUACGUGCAGCGCGCGCGAUGCAAACACGUGUUGAAUCCGACGUUUAGGAAUUCGGCUGUAAUCACAAAUAUUUUCAGCCGUGUGCCACAUAGACAGUCCAUUAAAUAUCCUUUUGGUCAUGAAUUAAUUCGAUGGACGUUCUCACUCGUCGCCGCAAGUCCAGUGGCCCACUGGAUGCUUCCAUCUCCUCCUUGAUAAUAUGGCUCUCUUCGUCCACAAGCGAAGACCGUCGGUGGAUCAGGCACCACAUGCUUGGAUAGGCAAACCAUGGCCAAUCCUUCCACAUCCUUGCAUCCACGAAGCAUUGCCUUCCAACCAUCCAAUAGUGACCUCACCCUUGGUUAUAUAAUGACGAAUCUGUGCAGAGAGAGCCUCAGUACUCAAGCCGGAGGCAGCACACUGCAACUUAAGUUUUUCUAUAGCUCCUAGCAAGCUAGCAAUGGCUCCCUCGGUGAUGGCUUCGUCGGCCACCUCCGUGGCUCCCUUCCAGGGGCUCAAGUCCACUGCGGGCCUCCCGGUGAACCGCCGCUCCAGCAGCUCGAGCUUUGGCAACGUCAGCAAUGGCGGAAGGAUCAGAUGCAUGCAGGUAUCAGAAACGAUACGUUUCAAUUUCUCCUUCAAAGUGCUCGUUGUUCAUAUAUAUUAAAUGUUGGCCCGAUUCUAUUAUCUGCAUCAAUUCAUUCAAUCAGGUGUGGCCGAUUGAGGGCAUUAAGAAGUUCGAGACUCUGUCGUACUUGCCGCCAUUGACAGUGGAGGACCUUUUGAAGCAGAUCGAGUACCUGCUCCGAUCUAAGUGGGUGCCUUGCUUGGAGUUCAGCAAGGUCGGAUUCGUCUACCGUGAGAAUCACAGAUCACCCGGAUACUAUGACGGUAGGUACUGGACCAUGUGGAAACUGCCCAUGUUUGGAUGCACCGAUGCCACCCAAGUGCUCAAGGAGCUCGAGGAGGCAAAGAAGGCAUACCCUGAUGCCUUCGUUCGCAUCAUUGGCUUUGACAACGUUAGGCAGGUGCAGUUAAUCAGCUUCAUCGCGUAUAAGCCACCGGGUUGCGAGGAGUCAGGCGGCAACUAAGCGCUUUCGUUCCUUCGUGCAUGUUCUUUCUUUUUCUUUUUUUUUUGUGUGUCCGUGUUAAGCUGCACGUAAUUGUUCUCUCGCGCUCCGACCUGCCGUUGUUGCAAGAGUACUACUACAACUAUCGGUCUAUCGUUCGGUGACGGUGAGACAGGGCACGUGAAUGCAAGAUCUCCGGCUAUACACACGUACUCAUGUAAUAUGAUGCCUAGAGCAUAUCUGAAUCCGUCGACAAUGAAAUUUUGGUUUUGCAAAAUGCUGGUAUUUGUUUAUCAUCCUGGCACGUGAUAUUUGCCUAGAGCAUCUAAAUCACUUUUACGAAAUGUGCGCGUCAACAAACUGAUACGGCCCAAAUGCCAGAAAUUACCAGCAUAUAUAGCCAUAUCAACUUUUGAUUCGUAUAUAUGAAGGUUGAUUUAGUUAGAGAAAUUCGGUUGUGAGAGAAGGAGGCUAGCAAAGAUUCGGUUGAUCAAGCUGUACCGCCAGGCCAGGACGUGCUGUGCGCGCGGCUGUGCCGCUUGACCGCAGAACCAUACGGAAUUGACGGACCAAUUGUGCAUACGGACUUAGCUAAAAUAAUUGUUGAUUUUUGGCAAUAAGAAAAGCGAGUAGCACAUAAAAUCUAAAGUGGAUGAGUAAAGGGACAAAAUUUUAUACAUGUUCAGGCCUUCUCGAUGAGAAGUAAUACUAUACUCCUGUUUUGGGGAUUAUAUUUGUCAGAUGUUGUAUCAAUCUGACGAUCGAGUUAUGGUUAUUGUUGGCGGCUGUUAAAUAUCGAUUUUAUGCCAUCAAUACCUGUAUAAUUUAUACAGAAAUAAUAAAACAUUCAACAUAGUGGUAGGCUUUAAUUCUAACAUAUUCCAUAAGUGUUGGUGUAUAUUUGGAUGCAGGUAAUAAACCACCGAAUUAGGAGGAAAUCUAGACUAAGUUGAAGGAAAUUUUCAUCCAUACAAGUGUUGGGCUUUUUAACUCCAUUUUAACACCAAAAUGCAAGCCCAAAAACCUGCGAAAUGGAUAAGGCAGACUGAGAAGGAGGCCCAGGCCAAAACUUGGGCCAGUUGGGCCAAGCCAGGUUUCGGCCAAAUCCUGAUCAUCGCUGUUGAUCUCAGGGUUUGGCAUGGACGCUCUUGAUUUACUCCUGAUGGCAGUUGCAGGGCAUUUCCGAUCAUUCGCAUGCUCUACAACCAUCAUACCUACUUAUUUAAGGAGCUCUCAUCCUCACUUCAUAUCACACACUCCAAUCUUGAGCUGAAUUAUAAGAGGCUCUAUUGUAUUUUAUUGUAUACUAGAAUUAGGGAAAGAUUAAGGUCGUAGAAGAAAUCGGAGGAAUUCCGGAGUUAUCGGUGAUCCUUUUCUAUUUCUUAUACUUUGUUAUUUGCUUUAAUAGAAAUAUCAUUUCAAGUAAUUAAGAUUUGUUUAGUGAGAACUAUUAUUGGCUAGUUCCUAAUUAGCGUAUGAGAUCACUGUUCACUAUAAUCCGUUAAAAUAUAGUGAUUGCUUUAGUGAGUUACAAACACUACAGUAGUUAUUGAUUGCUUAAACGUGGUGUUUAGAUAGUUAAUUUCUAGUGGUUGCUGCGUAUCCCAUAGUACGUUAGAGGCGGGUGUAGAGGUGGUGACCGCCCUCAAGAGCACUUAAUUCCUCCUUGUUUGUGUACGUGGUAGAGCGACAUCUGGGAACAGUGGGUUACCAGUGCCUGAAGUACCAUGUUAGGAUUAAAAUUGUAACAUUGUUUCUCAUUAGUAAAUCUUCUCUACCCUCUACCCACAUUUGCUUUGUAUCCUUGGUGAACCUGAAGAGGAACUGAACACACACGUUCCAUGAGGAAAUCAAUACCUUGGAAUACUCCUAGGUGAAGUGCUACAUCGGCAUCUUCCGUGUACUAGGGGAUUUUACAGUAACAUUAAGAAAUACCAACAAACAUUUUUGGCGUCCUUGCCAGCGAACGGUUGUUGUUUAUCUCCGAACCAUGUUCAUCCUCAUACCCUUUUUUAUUUUUCUUUCUUCUACCUUUACCCCUACUACCCUAGAGAAGUAUUCUCGUAAAACUCUUCUUGACCAUGGAGCAACCCAUCUUUGAAUUAUCAGUGUUGGUAUUUCUUACGAUCACAGAUAGAAUCCGCAAGCGCACGGAUAUACCGAUGUAGCGCUUCCCCUACGGAGUAUUCCAAGGGUACCAAAUCCAAGAGAACAUGUAUAAUUAUCUCUUCCUCCCGUUCAUCCAAGGACACAAGAUAAAUAUGGGUAGAGGGUAGAGAGGAUUUCUUAGUGAGAAACAGUGUCUAAGGAAAGCUUAAGUUUAAUCCUAACACAAUACUUCAGGCACUUGUAACCCGCUGUUCCCAUAUAUUGCUCUACUAUGUACCCGGACAGGCAGGACUUAAGUGCUCUUAAGGGCUGUCACCACCUCUACACCCACCUCUAACGUACUGUGGGAUACGCAGCAACCACUGGCAAUUAAUUACCCAGACACCGCGUCUACGCAAUUAAUUACUACUCUAGCACUAGCCAAGCACUAAAGCAAACACUAUAUAAUUAAUGGACUAUAGUGAACAAUGAUCCCGUAUGCUAAUUAGGAACUAACCAAGAAUAAUUCUCACUAAGCAAAUCUUAAUUACUUAGAAUGAUAUUUCUAUUGAAGCAGAGUAAUUACCAAAGUACAAGAAUAAAGAG